rnacentral:tRNA from 1 species
GGGCGUAGUUUAGUGGUAAAAUUUAAGCUUCCCAAGCUUACGUCGCGGGUUCGAUUCCCGUCGCCC